AACACAUGCAAGUCGAGCGGCAGCGCGGGAGCAUCCUGGCGGCGAGUGGCGAACGGGUGAGUAAUAUAUCGGAACGUGCCCAUUAGUGGGGGAUAGCCCGGCGAAAGCCGGAUUAAUACCGCAUACGACCUGAGGGUGAAAGCGGGGGAUCGCAAGACCUCGCGCUAUUGGAGCGGCCGAUAUCAGAUUAGCUAGUUGGUGGGGUAAAGGCCUACCAAGGCAACGAUCUGUAGUUGGUCUGAGAGGACGACCAGCCACACUGGGACUGAGACACGGCCCAGACUCCUACGGGAGGCAGCAGUGGGGAAUUUUGGACAAUGGGCGCAAGCCUGAUCCAGCAAUGCCGCGUGCAGGAAGAAGGCCUUCGGGUUGUAAACUGCUUUUGUCAGGGAAGAAAUCCUUUGGGGUUAAUACCUCGGAGGGAUGACGGUACCUGAAGAAUAAGCACCGGCUAACUACGUGCCAGCAGCCGCGGUAAU
rnacentral:rRNA from 1 species